GGACAGGGCAAGUGGAACAGGGACUGAGGCUCUGUGAGAAGGGGCUGAGACGAGCGAAGCCUGGAAACCUGAGAUCGCCUGGCUCGGCCUAAGGGAGGAGGGCGAGGACUCGAGGCUGCGUCACUGCAGAGAGAAGUGCAGAAGUGGGGCCUGUCCUGCAGCCCAGGGAGGCAGUUUCCCUCACCUCCCAGACCCUGGGCUCCCCCACUGCCCCCUAUCCAGUAUCUCGAUCCAGUAUCCUCCGGCAGUCCUCAAGCCCCUGAUGGGAUUCAAGAGGGCAGAGAAAAGACAUCAGAGCUUCCUGCUCCUCUCUGGCCUGAAUUCUGGCAUGUUCCCAGGCAGAAGCAGUGAAUCCUGAGGUCUUCAAGACAUGAAAUUCCUGAAAACUCCAAACUCCCACCUCCAUUAUCCUCGGCGCCCCUUCCUAAUUCUCCCUCCCCCUUACCCAAGGCCCUUUAAUUGCGGAAGGGCUCUCCCCUUCCUGACUUCUAGGACCCCUUUCUUCUUCCUCCGCCCCUAUUCCUAUCAAUUCCAAAUCCAGGGAAGAAGAUCUCCCGGACACAAAAGCUGAAAAUACAGAGACUCUGCUUACAAUUCUCGGUCCCCUGAAACCCUCCAAGUACCUUGGCUUCCAAAGCUCGUUAUUGAGGGGAAAUUCCUCCGCUGUAAUCUUUGAGUCCCCGUCUCCCGUGCCCCCCGCCUCCAAAAUGGGAUUUGGACUGUUUUACCGCCCCCUGAGCCUUCUCUCCCCUGUACUCACCCCAAGACGAGGCGGGGCGGGG